CACGGCGUCCGUUGUGGAGUACUUUGGUACUUUGGUAUCCUGGGAUUAGGAGCAGGGCACUGCUGACAGGGUGGACUGUCAUAGACUCGAAGCCCUCCUCCCUUCUCUGUGGCACCUGUGGAGCUUGACCAAAGCACCAGAGAGUUUCUGGGUACCUUGGAGGUGCUCUAUUUUUUUCUUCAAUCUAGCUACAAUGAAAAGACAAUAAAGAUAUUAGUGCAGAAAAAUCUGUAAAGGCACACUUUAAGCUUCAUCAUAGAUUGUGUUUAUUACAAUUUAUGGAGGGGAUGGGACACUGAGCACGUGCUCCUUCAUGGCACCAGGUCUGGCUCUGCAGUCUGCAUGGUGAGUGGUCAAAGUGUUGAUUCCCCUUCCUUCUCACUGGGGCNUAUGUUUGGAACCUCUAGUAUGAAGCUAGCGUGCUAUUCACGCGGCAGAUUUGGCGCCCACGAGAGAGCAUAUUAGGCUCCUUGUUUUCCUGUUCCAAGAUUACUUGCUUCUGUGCAUACAGGAAGUAAGUUCACCACUGUGCACCUGCACCAACAGAGGACCACCUAGACAGAUGGACUUGGACUGUAAACAGGUGGUAGCACAAAGGUGAUCUGUUUUCCUUAUACUUUCCUAUAUUUUUUAUAAGCAUGUGUUACUUUCUGUGAUUAUUAACAAUAUUUACUGAGCAGUUGCCAUGUACCAAACACCCCGCUAAAUGUUUCAGACACAGCUUUCCUCACAGUGUCCCCUGAGGCAGGAACUCCCAUCUUCAUCCUACAGAUGAGGACAGCAAGGUGGACAAGAGAGGGGGCCAGAGGCAGCGGUUGUAACCAGCCUGCAGAAAACCUCAAUCUUAAUGCUGUGUGUGUGUGUUUGUGUGUGUGUACUAGAGACUGACCCAAGAGCGCUCUACCUGUCAGCUACAUGACCAGUACCUUAAAAAAGUUCUGAAGGCUGGGGUUGUAGCUCAGUGGUAGAGUGCUUGAAGCAUAUCACGUGUGAGGCACUGGAUUUAAUUCUUGGCAUCACAUAAAAUCAGUAAAUGAAAUAAAGGUCUUGUGUCCAUCAACAAUGAAAAAUAUUUUUUAAAAAAAGUUUUUGAGAGAGGAUUUCAUUAAACAGGUCUCAAACUUGCAAUCCUCCUGCUUCAGCCUCCCAAGUAGCUGGGAUUACAGGCACGCACCAUGGCACCCAGCUCUCUUAUGCUAUUUUGCCUCAAUCAGAAGAUAAACAAAGUCAUUUCCAUCCUAUUACUGAAGGCCUCAGAUCCCCAAAUUAACUUCCCUGUCCCCUCAUCCCAAUACAAAGAAGGUUCCCAGCCUCACAGAGACAAAACACUGGCCUAAAUGCCACUGUGCUUGAGGCUGCUGAGGACGUGUGGAAAAGCAACUUUCAUAAACACCCAGAUACAAACUAGACUGCAGAAAGCACUGGGGGUGCAGGCGACUUGGCAGUGGCCGAGCAGGUGGGCUAUCUGCUUCCGAUGCAGCUGCCUGUGCCGCUCCCAGGAAGGCAACCUGAACGGCCUCUGCUCUAGCCCUGAGCACACGGGAUUCCUUCCUCACACAACUAUCUGAUGGUGUCACCACUCUGCUUCAAAGUCACAGAGAUCUGUCCCUUGACUUCUCACACAGCAGAAGUUCUCAGCUACAGGCAGAGAAGAUGGAGGCUCCCGUUGGGCCCUCUCUAGCCUCGACCUUGUCGAAUGCUCCUGAUUUGCAGAAGUCCCUGCUGGACUGGGUGGAAAAGAAAGUCCAAAUUCCACAGAGAAUUCUGGACCAUCUUGAAAGCCCUCUCUGGUUAAGUGAUGUCUCUUCCUCCCUCUGGUUUCCUGCUCAACUCAGACAUGCCCUCCUCUUGAAAAAUGCAAUGCUGCCCUCCUUGGUAUGUGUGCCCUCUACACAUGUCCUGCUGCUGCCCCUCCAUGGGCAAACAGCUCCUGGACCUUGGCUUAUGGUCUGACAACCACGAGAAGGUCCCACCCUAGUUCUCAACGUGCCUCACUUAUGCAUCCUCGGACAGGGCCAGACGCAUCAGUGGAGCCGGGGAACUGAAUUUUGUGGGGGACUGAACCCAGGAAUGCUUUACACUGAACUAUAUCUCCAGCUCUUUUUAUUUUUGAGACCAAGUCUUAGUGGCUUUGGACUUCACGGAGUUGCUAAGCUGGCUUCAAAUUUGUGACCCUCCUGUCUCAGCCUGUCACUGGGAUCAUAGGUGUGGUCCCUGUGCUCACCAGGGCAACUUUCACUUAGCGUUUCAGGACGACAUUCCUGAACCCCACUUCACCACAGACAAUAAAACUGUCUUUUUUUAUUGCUCUAGAGAGCCGCCUGACAUUUUCUUGCAGGAGCCAGGCCUCCCUUCCGCAGGGGAGAACCAAAUAAAGAAUUUGCCUAUGUAAAUGCACUCCCAUGACUUGAUUUUAAUUCUAUUUUCAUCCCACCAAAGUUCCCAGUGUCCAGCAUCACUGAAAAAAGAUCCACCAUAAAUUAUAAAUGUGAGUUAUCAAUUUUUAAAUUCUGGCAUCCCUUAAUCUCUGUGGGAAGUUCCUAAACUGAGUGCCAACCAAAAAUACCUGGAAUGUUGGCACACUCAUCCAGGACACAAGCAUAGGCCUCUCACAGACCUGCCUGGUUAGCUUUCCAGCACUGUAACGGAAUGCCUGAGAUCAUCAACUAAUGUAGAGAAAAGACUGGUUUUGGCUCAGUUUUGAAGGUUUCAGUCUGGUUGGAUCAUGACUGGUUGGGCUCAUGGCUCUGGGCCUGUGGUGAGGCAGCAAGUGGCAAAGUAAAACCAUUUACAUCACAAACCAGGAAGCAAAAAAGAAAAGAGGAAAGAGACUGGGCUCCCACAAUCUUCUUCAAGGGCACACCUCUCACUAGGCCCCACCUCCCAAAUGUCCCACCACCUCCCAAGGUGCACCCUGGUGACCACUGAGCCCUCAGCACGGGCCCUGGGGUACACUUAUUCAAACCAUAGCAGUGCCCUUAGCCUCUGGAGUUGCCGUCUGACAUGAACUCCAACAACUCAAGGCCAACACAGGCCAGAAGCACAGUCCCAGCAAGCCACAGCACUCUGUGGUAAAUCACCCUCAUGCCUGGUGCAGUGGCACACAACUGUAAUCCCAGUGGCUCAGGAGGCUGAGGCAGUAGGAUCUCAAGUCCAAAGUCAACCUCAGCAACUUAGCGAGGCCCUAAGCAACUCAGUGAGACCCUGUCUCUAAACAAAAAAAUAUUUUAAAAAGGGCUGGGGAUAUGGCUUAGUGGUUAAGCAUCCCUGGGUUCAGUCCCUGGUAACAACAACAACAAAAAAAUCACUCUCGCAUGCUACUCCAGGAGCCUCUGCCUGCUAAGCCCUGACCAUGGAAAACCACCCUUCUUCAGAGGGCAGCAGACAUGCUCAGCCACAGAGACAUGGACAUCAGGAAGGUGGACACAGGGCCAUGGAGAGACAAAGGGGAUGUAUUGAGCCAGGGCUCUGUAACACCCACAGCCUCCCCUGCUUCCCUCUCUUCUUGAACCACGGCGUCCGUUGUGGAGUACUUUGGUACUUUGGUAUCCUGGGAUUAGGAGCAGGGCACUGCUGACAGGGUGGACUGUCAUAGACUCGAAGCCCUCCUCCCUUCUCUGUGGCACCUGUGGAGCUUGACCAAAGCACCAGAGAGUUUCUGGGUACCUUGGAGGUGCUCUAUUUUUUUCUUCAAUCUAGCUACAAUGAAAAGACAAUAAAGAUAUUAGUGCAGAAAAAUCUGUAAAGGCACACUUUAAGCUUCAUCAUAGAUUGUGUUUAUUACAAUUUAUGGAGGGGAUGGGACACUGAGCACGUGCUCCUUCAUGGCACCAGGUCUGGCUCUGCAGUCUGCAUGGUGAGUGGUCAAAGUGUUGAUUCCCCUUCCUUCUCACUGGGGCUGGUGCCCAGGCAGCCCUGCAACACAUAGCGCAAUGGCCAGCCUCAGGCAUGUUUCCGAGGCAAACUGGCUCAACUCCCCUUACGUGCACAUUCAGACCUCAGGAUCCACGGUUUCUCCAUGCAUGGAUCCAACCACUCCGAGUCAAAGAUAUUUUUUAGAAAACAAUAAAAAACAACAAUUCAACAAUAGCAAAAAAAUAAUGGACAUUUUAAAACAAAAUAUAGCAACUAUUCAUGCAGCAUUUACAUUGUAUUAGGUGUUAUAAGAAAUCUAGAGAUGUGAAUGAAUACAGGAGGAUGUGUAGCUUAUUUGCAAAUAUUAUCCAUCUUAUAUAAGGGAUUUGAACAUCCUCAGAUUUUGGUAUCCUAGCAGGGGUGGUCUUGGAAUGAAUCCCCCAAAGAACCUGAGGGACAACUGUAUACAACAGUUGAAAAACUUCUGGGGGAUGCUAAUUGUAAGGCAAGCAAAAAUCUUAAAUAUUUUCUCCUUAUUUACUUCAAAAAACGGAAGAUGCUUAAUUUGCAUACAUAGAAAAUGCUUUAGAUAAGUUCCGCUCCUUAGUCAUUCUUAGUCAAAUUCACACAGCCCAUGGUUGAGAGCAUAAAGGGAGUGAGGUUUACUGGCUCCUUCACCAAGUAGCAGCAUGGUGAGGAGUUGGGUAAUGCUGCAUGAGUACAUUCUCUCAUCUGCAGGUUCUCCAUGACAUGGACACCGUAACAGGCCCCAAGAGAGCAUUUCCAAGCACACUCAGAGCAGAGGUGGGCAGCACAGGUUGGUCAGUUCAUGACUGCCCUAGUUCUCUCAGGACAUGUGGUCAGGGCAAUUGCUACUUAGGGAGGUUUUUCCACCUAAGUCUUGUUUUCUAUACUGAAAAAGACAAAUUAGAAUGCUCGCAUUCAAACUCCUUGAGAAUGGUCCGGUACGAGCACAAAUAAUGCACUCAUCCAAGGAGAAAAUUUUUCUUGGAGAUUUUUUUUUUCUAAAUUUAAUACUACUACAGAAAAUCUCUUCAAAUGAAUCCCUUUUCAGGAGGGAACCUGCUUCCUGUGUGCAAGCAGGCACCAAGAUAGCUGAGGAGCAAGCACAGCAUGCAGGAGGUCAGCAGCAGGCCCUGCUCAGGGGGGUUCCACAGGAUGCUAGUCUCUGAGCUUAGGUCAAAAUGCCUCAUCACUGGCAAGGAGCUACUGUGAGAAAUGCUGGUAAGCCACUGAGGCUUUUUGAAUCAGAACAGUCUCCUCAUCAGCAAAUAUCAUUGUGAGGAGUUAUUUUGGCCCAACUGUAAGUAACGCCAUGUUUUUUAAACUAUAUGAAAUUUCUUUUCUUUUUUUGGGGGGCGGGGGGCACUAGGGAUUGAACUCAGGGGCACUCAACCACUUAGCCACAUCCUCAGCCCUGUUUUGUAUUUGGGGCACAGCCUCACUGAGUUGCUUACUGCCUGACUUUUGCUGAGGCUGGCUCUGAAGUUGCAAUCCUCCUGCCUCAGCCCCCCAAGCCACUGGGAUUACAGGCAGCACCACCGUGCCUGGCAAACUAUAUGAAAUUUCUAAUAGAAGACAUUGCAAAAAGAAAGUACUGUUUUUACCUUGGUAAACAGUUUCUCUUUUGACACAUUAUAUGUGUAUAUACAUAUACACAUAUACACACACACUCACAUACAUAUGUACAUGUAUGUGGGUAUUGGGAUUGAAUCAGGAGUGCUCUGCCACUGCACUCCAUCCCCAGUACUUUUUAUUUUUUGUCUUGAGAUAGAGCCUCACUAAUUUGCUGAGGCUGACCUUGAACUUGUGUCUCAUUGCCUCAGCCUCCCAAUUUGCUAGGACUACAGAUACGUAUCACUGUGCUCAAUGACACAUCAUAUUUCUUUUAAAGUUUUUACCCCUCCACGGAAGACUCUAUAGAAGAAAUUUCUUUUUCGUCUGAGAGCUGGAGGACAUUCCUUUGCUUUCAGAUCCAAUGACAAACUUCCCUCAUUUUCACUUUCGUUGAUAUCCCUAAAGCAUCCAGAUUCGAUAAUCUGCACACACAGAAGAGAGCACAGAGAAGCUGCAGAAACACGUAAGGUCAGGGGUCCCCCAGAGCCAUCUGCCCCUACCCAUACCCAUGCUUGAUGUGGGGCA
rnacentral:lncRNA from 1 species